GCAUUUCAUUAGAUCGCAGCUUGUUUUGAUAUUGUCUGAUUAAUGGCUCAUGUUACUUGCUGUGCUCAAGAAAUCUUGCAGUAUCCAGGUAUCCAGGAUGUCCUAGGUUCUUCAUUAUGCUUGACAUCAAAAUGGGUCAUACUACUGAGGAGGAAUGUAAAGGCACACCCAACCUAUCUGUCCACACAUCGCGUUGGAGGGUGAGAGCAACAGAGCUGGUGAAAAAGAGGAAAACGUGCCAGCAGCAAAGUGAGGCUAAAACACACUACUUUAGCUUGACAUUUACACAAGCUAGCCAAACAAACCUCUGGAAACAAAGCAGCCUCACACGCAGAGCAGCCACUACCACCACACACUUCCAAGAGGGCGCUUUUAUCCACGUACACCCACCUUUCUUCUGAAAACAGCACUUCCAAUUGGUGGACCAGGGAGCAGCAACCGCACACCAGCGACACAACCACUGGUUGAAUCGCCACCUGUGAGCAAGCUCAUUGGAAAAUUCCAAAAAAAUGAAUCUUGACAUUCUUUUCAGCAACCCAGCAUUUUCACAAUGUGUGCUUGGUAAAGAAAAAAAAAAAGAAGAAAAGAAGACAUGAAGACACAAGGAAUAAUCAUCACAAAUGCAAUAAAUUUGCUUCCCAAAGGAAAAAAAAAAAUUCAACUGUUCCCUUAUCUUCAGAGACCUCAGGGAGCCUAUUAAAAAUGUCUAAAUCCUUAGCUGCCUUACUUUUGGGAACUUUUAACACCUGCUUAUUGCAUACAUAAUGAAUCAUAGCCACUGCACAUUCAAGACAUCAUCAUUAUGUCCAGUGCAUCAUC